GGAUGCCACCUUUGUAAGUCGCUCUGGAUAAGAGCGUCUGCUAAAUGACUUAAA
rfam:Salmo salar isolate Sally breed double haploid chromosome ssa07, whole genome shotgun sequence.